UCCCACCAGCCAAUAAGCCCUAGCCACGAUCCCAUGUAUUUUGAUAAUUUCAAGUCUUUUAUCUUUAUGUGGAACAUUACUCUCGUUUUAGUAUCACAUGCAAUUUAAACUAGUCGCAAAUAAUAUUCUUGCGUUAAAAAUUAGAAGAUCGGUGAUUGUUGGGUUUCGGAUCACAAGGUGAAAAGGGAGAUAAGGGUAUUGUCAAAUUUAAUUGAAACUAUAGUUACACUACUUUUGUAAAACAUGUAUGUGGAGGGAUGGAUACACAUGUGUGUAUAUAUCACGUAAUUAUUUUUUUAUUUUUCCAUCUCACAUAUUUGCAAAGCAUGUAUAUUUGUAAAUGAUGCUACAAUAUUUAUGGUUUGUGGUAGUUGUUUCUUCUCA